GACUGAACCAUUGUCGUGGAAAUAUAAUUCAGGUGCUAUUUGCUGGGCAUUCAUUUAAAGCCAGACGUAGAAGCGAACGGAGGUGAAUCAGACAUUGGAAACGCAACACGGGAACCAGGACUCAAGUACAUCGAGUAAAAGGAACAAUCGGCUGUAUUGCGGUGCAGAAAAGGCUGUAGACAUGUAUCGUGAAAUAUUUACAUGUUUGAUUAUUGCAGCGGUACUGAUGGCUGCUAAUGGUCAAAAGAGGCGGAUUCACAAAGGAACACAAUGGGGCAAACGGACGUCUCUCUACGAUGGCGCCGAUGAACGUAACCUCUCUGGAUACCCUGACCCCUCCAAGCAAAUCGACUUAGCCAAUCUUGUUCGUGCCUGGAUUAAUUUUGAGAUGCAACGGCAAGAAAAUUCAAUUAAAGUUCCUAAUUAUGACCAAGCUCUCGGCUAUGAUCAAUCUAAAUUUGAAAAGGAGAUAAAAUGAGGCCUUAUUCAGCAGCAGAAAUUAAAGCGACACAUCACGAAAUGAACUUUAUUUUCUCAAUAUAAUAACGAACAUUUUGAAAACACUCUUUUAUGUACUUUAUAUUUAAAGUGGUAAAAGUCGAUUACAGAAUCGUAUGCAAGUAUUGUUGCCAUCGAGUACAGCACGUCGUUAUCCUUUAUCACGUAAACUCGAAACAGUGGAUUGAAAACAGUUAAAAACGAAAACGUAUAGAGGGCGCUAUUUGAAUAUCUUAUUAUUAGCGCAUUCUUAAAUCAUUGCGCAUGUUAUAAAAUGAUAUUUUGGAAAAAAAAAGAUAUGUGCAAUGAAAAGAACAAGUGUACAAAAUAUUAAUUAUUUUUUAUCAGAAAUUACGGUAAUAAAUUGACUCCAACAUCACAAUUAUCCCAAUGGAAUAUUUACCUCGAAUCAAUUUAUACUAAUGAAAUUGUGUAGCAGAUUUAUGGCUGAGAAUUUAACUGUUCCCUGCUGAGACAGUGCAGUGUGUCUGUUUCGUAUUUCUUAGUAUUAUUCCACCCCCACUGUUGUCACCAGAUCUAAUAUACCGUAUACUUUUAUGACACAAUUGUAUAAGCCAUACUUACAAAUAUAUGGGCUCAAAUCACACCCAUGUACACACAUAGGCCUAUAUUAAAUAUCCUUAUAAGAACAUAUAUCCAGAAGUAUAAGUUUAUGCCCUUUAGUGCUUAUCUUUGACUCACUCUGUUUUUCAUAUCUAUCCUAUAUUUAU